GAACGCUAGCUACAGGCUUAACACAUGCAAGUCGAGGGGCAGCAUGUCGGUUGCUUGCAACCGAUGAUGGCGACCGGCGCACGGGUGAGUAACGCGUAUCCAACCUACCCUUGUCCAUCGGAUAACCCGUCGAAAGGCGGCCUAACACGAUAUGCGGUUCACCGCAGGCAUCUAACGUGAACGAAAUGUGAAGGAGAAGGAUGGGGAUGCGUCUGAUUAGCUUGUUGGCGGGGUAACGGCCCACCAAGGCGACGAUCAGUAGGGGUUCUGAGAGGAAGGUCCCCCACAUUGGAACUGAGACACGGUCCAAACUCCUACGGGAGGCAGCAGUGAGGAAUAUUGGUCAAUGGACGAGAGUCUGAACCAGCCAAGUAGCGUGCAGGAUGACGGCCCUAUGGGUUGUAAACUGCUUUUAUAAGGGAAUAAAGUGAGUCUCGUGAGGCUUUUUGCAUGUACCUUAUGAAUAAGGACCGGCUAAUUCCGUGCCAGCAGCCGCGGUAAUACGGAAGGUCCGGGCGUUAUCCGGAUUUAUUGGGUUUAAAGGGAGCGUAGGCCGGAGAUUAAGCGUGUUGUGAAAUGUAGACGCUCAGCGUCUGCACUGCAGCGCGAACUGGUUUCCUUGAGUACGCACAAAGUGGGCGGAAUUCGUGGUGUAGCGGUGAAAUGCUUAGAUAUCACGAAGAACUCCGAUUGCGAAGGCAGCUCACUGGAGCGCAACUGACGCUGAAGCUCGAAAGUGCGGGUAUCGAACAGGAUUAGAUACCCUGGUAGUCCGCACGGUAAACGAUGGAUGCCCGCUGUUGGUCUGAAUAGGUCAGCGGUCAAGCGAAAGCAUUAAGCAUCCCACCUGGGGAGUACGCCGGCAACGGUGAAACUCAAAGGAAUUGACG
rnacentral:rRNA from 1 species